UCUUAACCAGUGCGCCACCAGGGAAGUCCUAGUUGACAACUUUUUAAUGCAGGCAGAGAAGUAAGGUGUUGUCAUUAAAGUGUGCUAAAUGGAAAAAUGUUGGUACUCAAGAAACAUAAACAUCAGUCCUCUUUUUCAAAGAAUGCAGAAGUAUUUAUCUAUUAUAUCACCUUAGACAACAGCAUUAUCCAAAAAGGAAUGACCUGCAUUUUAUUCACUUAAUUGUUAAUAAACAGUUCUCACUGUUUGUAAUUUAGUUACUAAUGCUUUAAAAAUUUAACUACCAAAAAAUGUCCUUUUUACCCAUAGGCAGAACUACCAUUAAAUACAUUUCUAUUCCGUAACCUUAAAUCGGGAAGGCACAGAGAGAGAGCAAACCCUGUGAAUGCGUCCACAUUUCUGGCUGUGGACGUCAAGUAAAGAUGAACAGGUCUCAGCAAACACAAAAGAAGAGAGCAAGACGCCUUGAGAGGUGGGUACUAUGCAGUCAUGAAGAAAGAGAAAAUGAAGAAAGACUUCAUACUUAUCAAAACUAAUUAAUCAGAGACUCUACAUCGCUACUAAGGAAACAUGAGACGUUUCUUCAAUGAUCUAAAGGGACAAGGACAGUAUAAACUCUUAAGGACAAAGAGAACUUCUGUACGCAAGGAGUCUUCUGUACACAAGGGAUUUCACACAUAUUUGGAAGUUCAGCCUGUAAGGAAUCACCCUGGCUGGAGCCUUCACCUGGGAGAGAGGCAGCAACACCCCUCAAUGCUGGCCCAAGACUCUCAGCAUGCAGGUGUCACAGUGCUGAUUCCCAAACUGACUCAGCCCAGGGAGGGAAAUUCCAAGCCAGGAUUAUUUGCUAAAUCUGCCUUGAGUGGGGAAUUGAGGAAGACCUGAUCUCUUUUGGAUUUUGAAUAGAAAUGUUACAACAAUUCAAGGUGCAAAAUCAAGCAGGUCCAGCCAAUAAAGAGAUUAAAUAUGUGAAAAAACUGUUUCCUCCUUUUCAUUAAGCAUCUCAGGAUGUUGCUGCUGGUGGAUCGUCCUUGGUCUGCUGUCUUUGAAGAUGAAAAACUGGGGCCUAGGGAAGGUGAACAGUUUACCUAAGGUCACAAAGUAAAGCAGAGGCAGAGCUCAGAUGAACAACUCUAAAGAUGUAAAAUACAGCUCCCUGAACGCAACUACCCUCCUCAAGUUUGGGCACCAUAAAAUGUACACCACGUGCUCCCAGGCUGAAAAGUAGCUGAUGCCAAGCGUAUUUCACUCACUUCCUGCAUAUCUUAAAAUAUGUAGUGGAAUGUUUUCUGGAUCCUCUCCAUAUCCAAAAGAAAAUAUCUAAAUAAA